rnacentral:rRNA from 1 species
CAAUAGCGUAUAUUAAAGUUGUUGCAGUUAAAAAGCUCGUAGUUGGAUUUGUGGCGUACGGUGUGUUCCGGGCACUUGUUGUCUGAGUAACCUGCUGUUGCCGUCCUUGGGUGGAACCUGUGUGGCAUUAGGUUGUCGUGCAGGGGAUGCCCAUCAUUUACUGUGAAAAAAUUAGAGUGUUCAAAGCAGGCUUAUGCCGUUGAAUAUAUUAGCAUGGAAUAAUGAGAUAGGACUUUCUUGCUAUUUUGUUGGUUUGCGCAAAGAGGUAAUGAUUAAUAGGGACAGUUGGGGGUAUUCGUAUUCCAUUGUCAGAGGUGAAAUUCUUGGAUUUUUGGAAGACGAACUACUGCGAAAGCAUUUACCAAGGAUGUUUUCAUUAA